UGUUUUUAAGCGUAUGCACUGACUGAUGGCACCUUUUGAAUUUCGUUGUCCUUGUGACAAUGACAAUAAAGAUUUAUCUCAUCUCAUUAUUUCAAAAAUCUCGCGAGAUGUUUUCAAGCCCAACCAACUCUAGAAGAUUCUUCAGACAGUUGACGACGUUAAAAAAAGAAGAAAAAAGCGGAUCGUUUUUUUGCUUUCUUUCUCUUUUUCAUGGAUAAAAUGGACUUGAAGAGUUUGGCUUUUUUCCCGAACAAAAGUUUGUUGGAGGCCAGUGGUCCAGUGAAGCUCAGAGGGGGAAUGAAUGGGGCAACAGAUCAGGACCCAGAGACCUGAUCACCUUCAGCACUGGAGAAGGAAAACUCCUCACCUGAGCAUCACCACCCACAGCACCUGCACCUGUGGUUACUGGCACAUAUAAGAAGACCCCUAUGCAAGCCACCAAUGCCAACGUGUGUGUGUGUGUGUGUGUGUUCUAACCACCCUUAAAGACAUUAAGGAGACUCAGAGGGCUCACAGUCGAAUGCUACAGUCUCUCCUGAAACAACGUGAAGGACCAGUCAGGUUUUACCUGAGGUUCUGUUUUCCCUCUCUGGACCGGCACUGAUGAUAUUAAACCUGUUUCUGGUUUCCACACGUUUAUUAUCUGGACCUAAUUUUGGGUAAACCUGUAUGGUGUCAUGCUCAGGUGUUAAAAGUUGUUUCUGGUUCUCAACAGUUUCAAACAGAAGUAAAUAAAUUGUUGUUUUGUGUACAUA